GAUGACAGCAAGCUCAAUGUGCACUGCUGUGUGAUGUCACAGUGCAGCCACCAGGUUGGGAGACCUGCUUCUAUACAGUGUCCAGGGAGCACAAGCCCUGGGGCCCCACAAACCUGGGUUUGUGUGCCCACUCUUCACUAGCAGCUCCAGGACCAAGUGUGGUCAGGUCUCUGGAACUCAUUUCCAUAUCUCCACUGUGAUGUAAGGAUGUGCAUGGAUCCUAAAUGUGAGGAGCUGGCAAUCACCAGGUCCCUGGCAGGUGCUCAGAGUCUGAGCUACCAUCAAAAUUGAGGGUGCAGGGGGAGGCUAACUGCUUCUCUGAAUACCCUAAGGGAGGCAGAUCUAGGCCAGGUGACCAGGGUUUACAAGUCCCAGGACAGCAGGUUGGGCUUGGUACGCGGAAGAACUGAUGAGCAGCUUCAGUCAUGCAGCAGGACAGAUCAGGACAAAGCCAUGCAGGAGUGGGGGCCACACACCUGCCUAAAACCCCCAACACUCUUUUUCCCAGCAGCAGCUUCCAAGCAACUCCUGAUGCCCUCCCACCGGCUAACCAGAAAGGAACCCACCAUUGGUCUCCUUAGUAACGACUUCCAAGGCCCCUUGCACAUCUGAAAAGCGCACAGUGUGAUUUCCAGACCCAAGCUAGACAGCGAUUCUUCACAAAGUGCAACGCCCUCAAUUAAUGAACCCUCUGGGAAUGAAGUACCUUCUAACAAAAACACUGUUCAAAAUAAAGCUGGAAAAAAACCUCACACAGCCCCUAGGACAGAGAUAUGAGGAUGAUGACAGGCAACUCCCACGGUGGGAGUGCAGACUGCAGAACACUCACUCAUGCAGUAACUACCUGCUGAGCACCCCUGUGCACCAGGCCUUGUUCCUGGGGUGGGGAUAGAGCAAGGAACACAGCCCUGCCCCGUGGAGCUCAUAUUCUGUGGGAUAGCUGGUGGAGAAAACAUAUUAAAGACUGAUGAACUCCCGCAUGAUUUUCUGAAGCGGGCAGAAGAGAUGGCAGAUCAAACCGGGGUCAGAAUCUUCUAGAUGACUGCCUAACCAGAUGUGGAUAAAUCACAGGACCACAGGGCAUCUCCAGAGGGUCUUAAUUAAGGAGCUCGAGGUGAAAAUGGGGCCAGGACACAUGGACUAUUGUUAGCUGUGGCCCCUCUGGAGGCCACAGGUAAUAACAUUUCAAGCCAUUUCACCGGGUUAGCCUCAGCCCAGACUCUGCCCAGGGCCAAGAACAAAAAAGAGAAAUUGACCAGUCAGAAAGACAACCACACCCAGGAUCUGGUCCGGAGGCCUCCGCCAAGGGCACCAUCAGCUUCUGCUCACCCUACUUCCCAGGGACUUCCCAGUGGUAACCCCAACUUUUGUCUGGAGAUCCGCCCCUCCCCAACUCUGGUCUUGUGGUCAGGUGGAGAUGACCAGCUCCAGGGCCAGCCCAUCAUUUGCCUGGCCAUGGAGUCUAGUUCCAGAUGGAAACAGAAUCCCAUCAAAGCCAUUAUGACGGUGUGAGACUUUUGAAGCAGAGGUUAACGUCAUUUCUGGGGGACUUGGAGUUAGGUCAUUCACACAUGGUGGAGACAGAAUCUAGAGACCAGGGAUCAGCCCCAAGGCUAUGAUAUUUGUGCUGUCCCGCUCUACCCCUGAGCAAACAGGCCAGAUGUCCAGAGAGGGCUGUGCUGGCAGAGUUCAUACUUUGAUAACUGAACCCUAGAGUAAGCCUGCCCUGGAAAUGUCAGCUCAAGGGACUGACAGGCAUAAUGCUCUUUGGGAGAGAAAUGCCACAUCUGCAGUGACAUGCAUCCUAACACUGUCCAAGGACUGGGGAACCAGCGGAGGAGCAGCUGAUAAAUGUCAAGGCACACAGUAAUCCUGGGUAAUCCAUUCAGAGCUGGCAGUAAUCUAAACUUUCUGUACAGCAGUGACUCUGAGCUGUCAGUCACAACGCAAGAGGGAGCCUUGAGGGUCCUCCAGGAUGUUUGCCAAGGGCACAGGCCCAAAGCCAGAAAAUGUACCCAACAGGGAUACCAUCAGGAAGAUGUUGGAAACAAAAGAUAAAGCACUCUACCUGGGGAAGUACCCCAGCUGCAGGGGCCUCCUGGAGACACGCUCACCUGAGCUGGCUCACGUGCUGCUGAGGCUGGAUGGAAUGGCACAUGGCAACAUGCUUUGUCAACGAGGAAUAUUUGAAGAAUACUAAAGAAAAACAUGCCACCAUGCCCAGCUAAUUUUUGGAAAAGGAAGUUGCAAAGAAAUGCACAAGCAGCUUCCCCAACGGUCCGGCUGGGAAAGCUCAGGUCCUGCCUUGCUGAGGCCCUGCCAAGGCUCAAAGACCCUGCCCCACCCCCACGUGCUGCCCUUUGAGCUGUGAGUAGGGUGCAAGACAGGGAGGCAACACAUGGGGCCAGCUUCCUGGGGAGCUCAAGCAGGAGCCAGGCUGGGGACAGAGAGGUGCCACCCCCACUGCCCACCAACCACACUCAAGGCCCAUGUCACCCACACAAAGGCGGAGAAGACAAAUCGAGGGGUUGCUAACCUGUAGGCAGGACCAGCAGUGCUGCACGAAGAGAGAUGAAAGGGGUGAGGCUCCAGUCCAGGGGCAAAAAGAAUCCUAAGUGACACACACACACGUGCCCAGCUCUUCCCUGCCCCAGGGUGUCUGCCCCAGCGUUCACUGCCUGAGCUGCCCUCCUUUCUUCCCAUCUUCCCUCCCUUAGGAAGUCCUGUGACCACUACCAUCCUCCUCCUCUGUAGGGCUGGUGGUGCCCUCCCCUGGGGUGGCAUCAGCACCCUGUGGGCGCCUCUGUGAGGACCUUCUGGAAGGUGCAGCAGGGGAGGUGGGUAGGAGGGUAGGCUUUCCUUGCUGCCCGGGUUUACAUGCCAGCUUUGCCACUUCCUUUGUCACUUUAACUACAUCACUUCACCUCUCCGUGCCUCAGUUU